AUAACCGGCGAUUUCCGAAUGGGGAAACCCAGUGUGUUUCGACACACUAUCAUUAACUGAAUCCAUAGGUUAAUGAGGCGAACCGGGGGAACUGAAACAUCUAAGUACCCCGAGGAAAAGAAAUCAACCGAGAUUCCCCCAGUAGCGGCGAGCGAACGGGGAGGAGCCCAGAGCCUGAAUCAGUGUGUGUGUUAGUGGAAGCGUCUGGAAAGGCGCGCGAUACAGGGUGACAGCCCCGUACACAAAAAUGCACAUAUUGUGAGCUCGAUGAGUAGGGCGGGACACGUGGUAUCCUGUCUGAAUAUGGGGGGACCAUCCUCCAAGGCUAAAUACUCCUGACUGACCGAUAGUGAACCAGUACCGUGAGGGAAAGGCGAAAAGAACCCCGGCGAGGGGAGUGAAAAAGAACCUGAAACCGUGUACGUACAAGCAGUGGGAGCCUCUUAAUGGGGUGACUGCGUACCUUUUGUAUAAUGGGUCAGCGACUUAUAUUCUGUAGCAAGGUUAACCGAAUAGGGGAGCCGAAGGGAAACCGAGUCUUAACUGGGCGUUAAGUUGCAGGGUAUAGACCCGAAACCCGGUGAUCUAGCCAUGGGCAGGUUGAAGGUUGGGUAACACUAACUGGAGGACCGAACCGACUAAUGUUGAAAAAUUAGCGGAUGACUUGUGGCUGGGGGUGAAAGGCCAAUCAAACCGGGAGAUAGCUGGUUCUCCCCGAAAGCUAUUUAGGUAGCGCCUCGUGAAUUCAUCUCCGGGGGUAGAGCACUGUUUCGGCAAGGGGGUCAUCCCGACUUACCAACCCGAUGCAAACUGCGAAUACCGGAGAAUGUUAUCACGGGAGACACACGGCGGGUGCUAACGUCCGUCGUGAAGAGGGAAACAACCCAGACCGCCAGCUAAGGUCCCAAAGUCAUGGUUAAGUGGGAAACGAUGUGGGAAGGCCCAGACAGCCAGGAUGUUGGCUUAGAAGCAGCCAUCAUUUAAAGAAAGCGUAAUAGCUCACUGGUCGAGUCGGCCUGCGCGGAAGAUGUAACGGGGCUAAACCAUGCACCGAAGCUGCGGCAGCGACACUAUGUGUUGUUGGGUAGGGGAGCG
rnacentral:rRNA from 1 species